GAUGAACGCUAGCUACAGGCUUAACACAUGCAAGUCGCGGGGCAGCAUGGGGGUUGCUUGCAAUCCCUGAUGGCGACCGGCGCACGGGUGAGUAACGCGUAUCCAACCUGCCCGUCACCACGGGAUAACCCGUUGAAAGGCGGCCUAAUACCGUAUGGCGUCGUUUGAUGGCAUCAGAUUACGACUAAAGGUUCAGCGGUGACGGAUGGGGAUGCGUCCGAUUAGCUUGUUGGCGGGGUAACGGCCCACCAAGGCGACGAUGCGUAGCCGGCCUGAGAGGGCGGACGGCCACACUGGGACUGAGACACGGCCCAG
rnacentral:rRNA from 1 species